ensembl:lncRNA
AUGGGCUAUGGCCGGGAAGAGGUCAGGGAGCAAGGGGGCCACGGGGAUCCGGGGCGUGGGACUCGGGCCCCGGCCUGAGUCUUAGGUAUCCGUAGCGCCCUCCUUCUUCCUCCUCUUCGCUGAAUACAGCUCACGGUAAGUACUGGUUCACACAGUUCGUUCUCGGGGUGCUCACUCUCUUUCUCUUCCUCCACAGGCAGCGGCGUAAGUACAGGUUUCCUCGGUCUCUCCUCGUGUUACCCACUCUCUCUCCUUUUCUCUCCACAGGUAUCAACUUGGGCACAAUAGCACAGUUAGUUUGCUUUGAAUGGCUCUCACCUCUGGGCUGAACACAGCGUACUGUAAGUACAGGUUUCCUCUGUUUCUCCUUGUGUUACUCACUCUCUCUUUCCUUUCCUCUCCACAGGUAUCAACUUGGGCACAAUAGCACAGUUAGUUUGCUUUGAAUGGCUCUCACCUCUGGGCUGGACACAGCGUACUGUAAGUACAGGGUUCGCUCUAUUCCUCCUCGUGUUAUUCACUCUCUCUCCUUUUCUCUCCACAGGUAUCAACUUGGGCACAAUAGCACAGUUACUCUGCUUUGGAUGGCUUUCACCUCUGGGCUGGACACAGCGUACUGUGCUAUCUCCGGAGAUCUGAAGCACGCUCACAACAUAUACUGUACUGAACUAGGCUAGGACCAGCAGUCUCCUUGUCCUCCCGCGACGAAGUGCGUGAAGGCGGGGGUUUAUCUGACAGGACACACGGCAAUACACAGCAGCCCACAGCAAUAUACAGCACCACGUCAAAAUUAUAGGUUUUCACAGCAUGAAGACUCACCCACCACACUCAGUGUACGAAAAGGACACCCGUCUUCCUUCACUUCGCUUGGUUCGGAUCUGGCGAUGG